AUGAAGUCGGAGUUGCUAGUAACCGCCGGAUCAGCAUGCCGCGGUGAAUACGUUCCCGGGCCUUGUACACACCGCCCGUCGCACCAUGGGAGUUGGGAGUGCCCAAAGCCGGUGAGGCAACCGAAAGGAGCCAGCCGUCUAAGGCAAGACCAAUGACUGGGGUGAAGUCGUAACAAGGUACC
rnacentral:rRNA from 1 species